AACCACCAGUCUGUGCACAUCACUAGCCUCUUCCAUGAACCCUCUCAAUGUUCCUGAGCCCCCAAUCACGCCAAAUCAACCUCUGACAAACAAUGUUAGUCGAAGAGUUUGAAGAUUGUUUCCAGUGAUGCCAAAUAGCAAGGAGAAGAUUUUCCCCAGAAUCCUCACCAACCCCCACGUACUAGUAUAUAUUAGGCAUGGCAUAAUAAUUGUAUUGAAAUCAUCGUUCUGACCACCUGGUCCCCGGGAAAGAGAAAGAGAGUCAACACUCUACGGCUCAGUCAAAUUGCCCAAUC
rnacentral:sRNA from 1 species